AGCUCCUAAUGGUAACGUUUUCAUUUCUUACACGUGUAAAAAUCUGCCUAUAAGCAGUGCCUGCGAUAAUGUGCUAAUGCCAGGGUGAACUUCUCAAAGCAGGUUUGCUAUUUAGAUGUGACUUGGUGUGAUGACAUUGAAAUUUACACUGCAGCUUUAAAGCAGAGAUGGGAAAGCUGUGGGCCUCCGGAAGUUGUUGAACUCCAGCUCCCAUCAGCCCAGCCAGCAAGGGCAGAUGUGGCUGGACUCCAGCUUCCCCACCUUUUCUCUAAAGCCACUGAGAAAGCAAGAAAACAAGUUGCCACACUUAUUUCUUCCUUGGCCUCUCUGUCUGUGUCUCCACUGCUUGCUGCAUGGCCUGCUCAUGGGAGUUGGCGGUGGGCAGAGUAGGUGAAAGGACUAACAAAGGAAAGGACUAAAGAAGUCUUUAUUGCUUCUCCAUGUUGCAGCCUGGCAAUAUUGCUUGCGACAUGUGUGUCAUUGCUGAAUUUUUGCCUAAAGUUCCGCUUUUCAAGGCUAUGUACUGUCAACACAAGUAGGGAUGAUAUAACGCCUGUUCUGAUUAAUAUUCUAGCUCAGUUUUUUAAAAGGACAUUUCAACAAUGUCAGACAAAGGGAGAGAAGGUUAAAGGAAAGGAGAAGGCAGCAUGUCCCUGAUCCUUUUCUCAAGUGGGAACAGGAUCAGAGACUAAUUGCCUGCUCCCUUCCACAGCCCUCACCAUGGGCAAUAUAAUGACUUGUCUUUCAUUUCCAGCUCAGAGCGACAGGAUAGUGAAUUAGCAGCACACUUUCUCUUUCCCCUAGUGCUUCUUUGAAGGCUUGGGCAGGGCAGGAUAUGCACACAGCUGUCUCUUCCUUCUGCAGCUCCUUCCCUUUCUCAAGAGCUCUCAAGAGCAUUGGCUUUCCAGGGUGGUUAUGUUGCAGCUGUGAUCAUCAGAUCCAACAGGGAACUACUUUAAUUACUGUACAGGAGGGGGAUAUGUCACAGGCACAGCUUCUCCUUUCAUUCUAGCACUAUGACAGGAAAAGCUCUGUUUAAUCUCUGCCUGGUCAAACUAUUGAAAACUCUGGAGGCCCAACCUUGUACUGGAUCUGACAAACUUACUUCCAUGCUGCCAACAAAUGAUAAAAUAGUCACUAGAUUGCAGCCCACUAGAAUGCAUUCACACUCAGAGUGCUUUCUGAUGACCCAGCUUUAAAGUAUACUUAGGGCUGGAGAAAAUGAUAUCUGGAGAAAAACCAUAUGGUGUACAGUGUCAAAGAAAUGAAAUAAUAACACAAAAGCAAUGUACUUUCCCAAAGUAUGAUUCACCAGAGAGAUCUGUUUUCAUUUAAAACAAAUCCUUAUGUCAGUGCUGAGAAUUAUUAAAUGUGUCAAGUUCACCAUU